UACGAGGGGAGCAAGCGUUGUUCGGAUUUACUGGGCGUAAAGGGCGCGUAGGCGGCGUGACUAGUCACUUGUGAAAUCUCCGGGCUUAACUCGGAACGGUCAAGUGAUACUGUCGUGCUAGAGUACAGAAGGGGCAACUGGAAUUCUCGGUGUAGCGGUGAAAUGCGUAGAUAUCGAGAGGAACACCUGCGGCGAAGGCGGGUUGCUGGGCUGAUACUGACGCUGAUGCGCGAAAGCCAGGGGAGCGAACGGGG
rnacentral:rRNA from 1 species